AGAGUUUGAUCAUGGCUCAGGACGAACGCUGGCGGCACGCUUAACACAUGCAAGUCGAACGAGAGAAGAGAAGCUUGCUUUUCUGAUCUAGUGGCGGACGGGUGAGUAACACGUGAGCAAUCUGCCUUUCAGAGGGGGAUACCGAUUGGAAACGAUCGUUAAUACCGCAUAACAUAAUUGAACCGCAUGAUUUGAUUAUCAAAGAUUUAUCGCUGAAAGAUGAGCUCGCGUCUGAUUAGCUAGUUGGUAAGGUAACGGCUUACCAAGGCGACGAUCAGUAGCCGGACUGAGAGGUUGAUCGGCCACAUUGGGACUGGAGACACGGCCCAGGACUCCGUAGGGAGCA
rnacentral:rRNA from 1 species